UUCGCAAUGCCCGAAAGGGUGACGAAGCGACGCCGCGUGUGGGAAGAAGGCCUUCGGGUUGUAAACCACUGUCGGGAGUUAAGAAAUGCAAGGAUAUUAGUAGUGUCUUUGUUUGACUAAGGCUCCGGAGGAAGCCACGGCUAACUCUGUGCCAGCAGCCGCGGUAAUACAGAGGCGGCAAGCGUUGUUCGGAAUUAUUGGGCGUAAAGAGCACGUAGGCGGCUAUGUAAGUCGGUUGUGAAAGCCUUCCGCUCAACGGAAGAACAGCAUCCGAUACUACAUGGCUUGAGUGCGGGAGGGGAGAGUGGAACUUCUGGUGGAGCGGUGAAAUGCGUAGAUAUCAGAAGGAACGCCGGCGGCGAAAGCGGCUCUCUGGCCCAUAACUGACGCUGAGUGUGCGAAAGCUAGGGGAGCAAACGGGAUUAGAUACCCCGGUAGUCCUAGCCGUAAAC
rnacentral:rRNA from 1 species